CUACGGAAUAGCUCCGGGAAACUGGAAUUAAUACCGUAUACGCCCUCCGGGGGAAAGAUUUAUCGGUGAAAGAUCGGUCCGCGUUAGAUUAGAUAGUUGGUGGGGUAAUGGCCUACCAAGUCUACGAUCUAUAGCUGGUCUGAGAGGAUGAUCAGCCACACUGGGACUGAGACACGGCCCAGACUCCUACGGGAGGCAGCAGUGGGGAAUCUUGCACAAUGGGCGAAAGCCUGAUGCAGCCAUGCCGCGUGAAUGAUGAAGGCCUUAGGGUUGUAAAAUUCUUUCGCUAGGGACGAUAAUGACGGUACCUAGUAAAGAAGCCCCGGCUAACUUCGUGCCAGCAGCCGCGGUAAUACGAAGGGGGCUAGCGUUGUUCGGAAUUACUGGGCGUAAAGCGCGCGUAGGCGGACUAUCAAGUUGGAUGUGAAAUCCCAGGGCUCAACUCUGGAACUGUAUUCAAAACUGGUAGUCUAGAGGCCAGGAGAGGUCAGUGGAAUACCGAGUGUAGAGGUGAAAUUCGUAGAUAUUCGGUGGAACACCAGUGGCGAAG
rnacentral:rRNA from 1 species